rnacentral:lncRNA from 1 species
UAUUAGAAACUUAAAAACAUGUCGGAUUAGGUCAAGAAGUGUCAUCUUUAUGAACACACUGCACAUAGUCAACCAUGGGAAGUGACAUCUUUAUGAAGUGUGCUAGUCGAUCUCCGAGGCUAAAAACCCAAUUUUGUGAGUUAUUAACGAAAGUUGCAUGGAGGGACUUUCAAUUCAGCAACAAUAGCAAUCUUGGAUGUUGUUGGGUCAACAAAUGCCAUUAAGGCAUUCUGGAUAAGUUGAUCUUAAAGGAACCAAAUGGUAUAGUCAGAAUUGAUUUGUUAACAAUCACUGGUAAUGCGUUGAAGGGCUAGAUUAAAACCAAUUUGAUGGCCAAAGAGAUCAUGGUCAUGCAUGAGCAUUGAAAAUUGUACUUUCUAGGUCGAAAAUUUGAUAUUCCUAAUUAAUGUUAUAGGGAGUUAAGAGGUGGGGUUGAAUUAUUCGUCGUAGUAUGAUUAAUGUUUUAUUAGCUUCGAAAAUGAGAGUAUUGAUAGAAACCAUUCAAUAUAACAACUACUAGUAGGCUUGUUUAUGCAUGAAACAAUAGGGAUAUUUUUAUCAAAAUUGUGCAAUUUUUGCUAGCUCUGAUGCCAUAUAAACAUAAAAAUAAGGAAUAAAAUGUCAAUGAUCCUUGUUCAUUCAUCAAUAGGUUUUUAAAGACAAAUCAAUGAUCAACAAAACUAAUAACUACUUCCAUGAGACUCUCCUAUAAUGAAGGAAACUC